rnacentral:rRNA from 1 species
AGCAUUCAGUUGGGCACUUUAAAGAGACUGCCGGUGUUAAGCCGGAGGAAGGUGGGGAUGACGUCAAGUCCUCAUGGCCUUUAUGCCCAGGGCUACACACGUGCUACAAUGGGUGGUACAAAGAGAUGCCAACUCGCGAGAGCGCGCCAAUCUCAGAAAGCCAUCCUCAGUUCGGAUUGGAGUCUGCAACUCGACUCCAUGAAGUUGGAAUCGCUAGUAAUCGCGGAUCAGCACGCCGCGGUGAAUACGUUCCCGGGCCUU